rnacentral:RNase_P_RNA from 1 species
UCAGCGCGUUGGAAUGUAGCUCCUCAAUGAAAGUUGAGGGGAGGAAAGUCCGAACACCCACCCUCGAGCAAUCGUAGGGUUAACAAGGUAGCAGGUAAUCCCUGUCACUCGCUUUUUGCGGGCGAGAGAGGUGCGAACAGUGACGAACCGAUUUAGUUCGGGUGAAACGGCAAAAUCCUUACUUGGGUGCAAGGCCGUACUUCCCAACAUUAGUUGGGAUUGGGAGCCGCUCGAGCCUGUCCGCGAGGACAGGCCCAGAUAAAUUACAUUCUGCAAAACAGAAUUCGGCUUACAUACGCGCGCGCAGA